UACGUAGGGUGCAAGCGUUGUCCGGAAUUAUUGGGCGUAAAGAGCUCGUAGGCGGUCUGUCGCGUCUGCUGUGAAAAUCCAGGGCUCAACCCUGGACCUGCAGUGGGUACGGGCAGACUAGAGUGCGGUAGGGGAGAUCGGAAUUCCUGGUGUAGCGGUGAAAUGCGCAGAUAUCAGGAGGAACACCGGUGGCGAAGGCGGAUCUCUGGGACGGUACUGACGCUGAGACGCGAAAGCGUGGGGAGCAAACAGG
rnacentral:rRNA from 1 species